rnacentral:snRNA from 1 species
GGAUGUGAGGGCGAUCUGGCUGCGACAUCUGUCACCCCAUUGAUCGCCAGGGUUGAUUCGGCUGAUCUGGCUGGCUAGGCGUGUGUCCCCUUCCUCCCUCACCGCUCCAUGUGCGUCCCUCCCGAAGCUGCGCGCUCGGUCGAAGAGGACGACCAUCCCCGAUAGAGGAGGACCGUUCUUCGGUCAAGGGUAUACGAGUAGCUGCGCUCCCCUGCUAGAACCUCCAAACAAGCUCUCAAGAAGCUAACCAAGAGCACCUUGCUUUGUGAGAAGCAUUAGCUACCAGGAGGGAAAGCUGUGCUAGUGCUAGAAAGGUUAUUAGUAUGAGGGGUUCUUCAUGACUGG